AACGAACGCUGGCGGCGUGCCUAACACAUGCAAGUCGUGCGAGAAAGUUCCUUCGGGAGCGAGUAAAGCGGCGCACGGGUGAGUAACACGUAGGUAACCUGCCCCCCAGUCUGGAACAACUAGAGGAAACUCUAGCUAAUGCCGGAUGAGACCACGAUCCCCUUCGGGGGUUGCGGCCAAAGAUGGCCUCUACUUGUAAGCUAUCGCUGAGGGAUGGGCCUGCGGGCCAUUAGCUUGUUGGUGAGGUAACGGCUCACCAAGGCUGUGAUGGCUAGCUGGUCUGAGAGGAUGACCAGCCACACUGGGACUGAGACACGGCCCAGACUCCUACGGGAGGCAGCAGUGGGAAUAUUGCGCAAUGGGCGAAAGCCUGACGCAGCGACGCCGCGUGGGUGAUGAAGGCC
rnacentral:rRNA from 1 species